rnacentral:rRNA from 1 species
UUCGCAAUGCCCGAAAGGGUGACGAAGCGACGCCGCGUGCGGGAAGAAGGCCUUCGGGUUGUAAACCGCUGUCGGGAGUUAAGAAAUGUAAGGAUGUUAACAGCAUCUUUGCUUGACUAAGGCUCCGGAGGAAGCCACGGCUAACUCUGUGCCAGCAGCCGCGGUAAUACAGAGGCGGCAAGCGUUGUUCGGAAUUAUUGGGCGUAAAGAGCACGUAGGCGGCUAUGUAAGUCGGUUGUGAAAGCCUUCCGCUCAACGGGAGAACAGCAUCCGAUACUGCAUGGCUUGAGUGCGGGAGGGGAGAGUGGAACUUCUGGUGGAGCGGUGAAAUGCGUAGAUAUCAGAAGGAACGCCGGCGGCGAAAGCGGCUCUCUGGCCCAUAACUGACGCUGAGUGUGCGAAAGCUAGGGGAGCAAACGGGAUUAGAUACCCCGGUAGUCCUAGCCGUAAACGAUGGGCACUAAGUAGAGGGGUUUU